rnacentral:lncRNA from 10 species
GGUGUGCUCGGCAGUCACAGACCCACUCAGGACACCUCCCGUUGCCGACGGGCUAGACCUGCCUUAAAGGGGUCCCCGUGUCUCUCCAGUCUAGAGCCUAAGUUCAAACGAGGCGUAUAGGCGAGGACAGCAGGAAGGCUCCAAGUCAAACAAACGGAUGGGAAGUGGUCUUGGGAAACCUGAAGACACUGGGAUAUUCAGAAGGCCAAGGGGAUCCAGCUUAUCCUGUUGGGCAAGGUGCUGGGAGUGAAGGCAGAGAUUCCACUGAUGAUUUCCAGGAACUACCAAAGCCACGGAUCAGCUGAGUUACCCGGGCUAAUAGCAGGAGGAAACAGUGUCAGAGAGGGAUCUGGCUGAUCUUCAACUCCACUAAGUUCUCCCCAAGGGUCUUGCUCCAUCACCCACGCUGGAGUGCAGUGGCACAAUCACAGCUCACUACAACCUCAACUUUCCUGGCUCAGUGAUUAUCCCACCUCAGCCUCCUGAGUAGCUGGGACUAACAGGCAUGUGCCAACAUGUCCCACUCAUUUUUUUUUUAUUUUUUGUAGAGAUGGGGUUUCACCAUGUUGUCCAGGCUGGUCUCAAACUCCUGGGCUCAAGCGAUCCUCCCUGCCUUGGCCUGUGCUGGGAUUACAGGUGUGAGCCACCGUGCUGGCCUCAGUACUAUUUUUUAUUGA